rnacentral:rRNA from 1 species
CCCUUAGAUGUCCUGGGCCGCACGCGCGCUACACUGAUGCAUUCAACGAGUUUUACCUUGGCCGAGAGGCCUGGGCAAUCUUUUAAACCUGCAUCGUGAUGGGGAUAGAUUAUUGCAAUUAUUAAUCUUGAACGAGGAAUUCCUAGUAAACGCAGAUCAUCAAUCUGCAUUGAUUACGUCCCUGCCCUUUGUACACACCGCCCGUCGCACCUACCGAUUGAAUGGUCCGGUGAAGCCUCGGGAUUGUGGCCAGUUCACUUUAUUGGGAGUUGGCUGCGAGAACUUGUCUAAACCUUAUCAUUUAGAGGAAGGUGAAGUCGUAACA